rnacentral:miRNA from 1 species
GAGAGGGAAGAUUUAGGUUGGUGCAAAAGUAAUUGUGGUUUUUGCCAUUGAAAGUAAUGGCAAAAACCGCAGUUUCUUUUGCACCAACCUAAU